rnacentral:rRNA from 1 species
UACGUAGGUGGCAAGCGUUGUCCGGAUUUACUGGGUGUAAAGGGCGUGUAGCCGGGCUGACAAGUCAGAUGUGAAAUCCGGGGGCUCAACCCCCGAACUGCAUUUGAAACUGUUGGUCUUGAGUAUCGGAGAGUCAGGCGGAAUUCCUAGUGUAGCGGUGAAAUGCGUAGAUAUUAGGAGGAACACCAGUGGCGAAGGCGGCCUGCUGGACGACAACUGACGGUGAGGCGCGAAAGCGUGGGGAGCAAACAGG